rnacentral:rRNA from 1 species
CAUGCCUUACACAUGCAAGUCGAACGGCAGCGGGGGAGAAGCUUGCUUUUCCUGCCGGCGAGUGGCGAACGGGUGAGUAAUACAUCGGAACGUGCCCGGUCGUGGGGGAUAACGCAGCGAAAGCUGCGCUAAUACCGCAUACGAUCUGAGGAUGAAAGCGGGGGACCGUAAGGCCUCGCGCGAUCGGAGCGGCCGAUGUCAGAUUAGGUAGUUGGUGGGGUAAAGGCUCACCAAGCCAACGAUCUGUAGCUGGUCUGAGAGGACGACCAGCCACACUGGGACUGAGACACGGCCCAGACUCCUACGGGAGGCAGCAGUGGGGAAUUUUGGACAAUGGGCGAAAGCCUGAUCCAGCAAUGCCGCGUGCAGGAAGAAGGCCUUCGGGUUGUAAACUGCUUUUGUACGGAGCGAAAAGGUCUCCUCUAAUACAGGGGGCUCAUGACGGUACCGUAAGAAUAAGCACCGGCUAACUACGUGCCAGCCGCCGCGGUAA